UCAGAAAGGUAAGGAUCAUUUCAAUGAUUGGUGAUACAUAGGAUCUUUGCAUUUCACGUGCCAAAUAUAUUUAUAUUUUUUUAGAUGCAGACAUUGGGAAUGAAGAUUGUGGCUCUUGCAGUCAUCAUGAUGCUGGUCUCCAGCUCUAUGGCUAAACCUGCCCAUGUGAUUGAAAAGCGCUCAAGUGAAGAGAAUCGGCAAACUACCACCACCAACACCAACACCCAAACUCUCCUUCAGCUGACUCAGCUGCUCCAGUUAUUGCAGGCCCUCAGAGCUCUCAUUCCAGCUCAAUGAUGUGUUCAU